GACAGAGGAUGCAAGCGUUAUCCGGAAUGAUUGGACGUAAAGCGUCUGUAGGUGGCUUUUUAAGUCCGCCGUCAAAUCCCAGGGCUCAACCCUGGACAGGCGGUGGAAACUACCAAGCUGGAGUACGGUAGGGGCAGAGGGAAUUCCCAGUGUAGAGGUGAAAUUCGUAGAUAUUGGGAAGAACACCGGUGGCGAAGGCGGUCUGCUGGGCAGUUGCUGACACUGAGGCGCGACAGCGUGGGGAGCAAACAGG
rnacentral:rRNA from 1 species